rnacentral:miRNA from 1 species
UGGUGCAAAACUAAUUGCGGUUUUUGCCAUUAAAAGUAAUGGCAAAACUGUAAUAACUUUUGUACCC